rnacentral:rRNA from 1 species
GACGAACGCUGGCGGCGUGCUUAACACAUGCAAGUCGAACGGAAAGGCCUCUUUCGGGGGGUACUCGCGUGGGGAACGGGUGAGUAACACGUGAGUAAACUGCCCUUGACUCUGGGAUAACUCUAGAGAACAGGGGCUAAUACAGGAUAGGAGAUCCUGCUGCAUGGUGGGGGUUGGAGAGAUUCGGCGGUUGGGGAUGGACUCGCGGCUUAUAAGAGUGUUGGUGGGGUAGUGGCUUACCCAGGCUUUGACGGGUAGACGGCCUGGGAGGGUGACCGGCCACAUUGGGACUGGGAUACGGCCCAGACUCCUACGGGGGGCAGGAGGGGGGAAUAAUGCACAAUGGGGGGAAGCCUGAUGCAGCAACGCCGGGUUCGGGGUUACGGCCUUCGGGGUGGAAACCGGUUUCGCUCAGUACGAAGCUGUGUGUGACGGUAGUGGGUAAAGAAGCACCGGCUAACUACGUG